CGUGUUGUGAAAUGUUGGGUUAAGUCCCGCAACGAGCGCAACCCUUAUCCUUUGUUGCCAGCGGUCCGGCCGGGAACUCAAAGGAGACUGCCAGUGAUAAACUGGAGGAAGGUGGGGAUGACGUCAAGUCAUCAUGGCCCUUACGACCAGGGCUACACACGUGCUACAAUGGCAUAUACAAAGAGAAGCGACCUCGCGAGAGCAAGCGGACCUCAUAAAGUAUGUCGUAGUCCGGAUUGGAGUCUGCAACUCGACUCCAUGAAGUCGGAAUCGCUAGUAAUCGUAGAUCAGAAUGCUACGGUGAAUACGUUCCCGGGCCUUGUACACACCGCCCGUCACACCAUGGGAGUGGGUUGCAAAAGAAGUAGGUAGCUUAACCUUCGGGAGGGCGCUUACCACUUUGUGAUUCAUGACUGGGGU
rnacentral:rRNA from 1 species